AACGAACGCUGGCGGCAGGCUUAACACAUGCAAGUCGAGCGCCCCGCAAGGGGAGCGGCAGACGGGUGAGUAACGCGUGGGAAUCUACCGUGCCCUACGGAAUAGCUCCGGGAAACUGGAAUUAAUACCGUAUACGCCCUACGGGGGAAAGAUUUAUCGGGGUAUGAUGAGCCCGCGUUGGAUUAGCUAGUUGGUGGGGUAAAGGCCUACCAAGGCGACGAUCCAUAGCUGGUCUGAGAGGAUGAUCAGCCACAUUGGGACUGAGACACGGCCCAAACUCCUACGGGAGGCAGCAGUGGGGAAUAUUGGACAAUGGGCGCAAGCCUGAUCCAGCCAUGCCGCGUGAGUGAUGAAGGUCUUAGGAUUGUAAAGCUCUUACACCGGGGACGAUAAUGACGGUACCCGGAGAAGAAGCCCCGGCUAACUUCGUGCCAGCCGCCGCCGUAA
rnacentral:rRNA from 1 species